GACGAACGCUGGCGGCGCGCCUAACACAUGCAAGUCGAACGAGCGAGAGAGAGCUUGCUUUCUCAAGCGAGUGGCGAACGGGUGAGUAACGCGUGAGGAACCUGCCUCAAAGAGGGGGACAACAGUUGGAAACGACUGCUAAUACCGCAUAAGCCCACGACCCGGCAUCGGGUAGAGGGAAAAGGAGCAAUCCGCUUUGAGAUGGCCUCGCGUCCGAUUAGCUAGUUGGUGAGGUAACGGCCCACCAAGGCGACGAUCGGUAGCCGGACUGAGAGGUUGAACGGCCACAUUGGGACUGAGACACGGCCCAGACUCCUACGGGAGGCAGCAGUGGGGAAUAUUGCACAAUGGGGGAAGCCCUGAUGCAGCGACGCCGCGUGGAGGAAGAAGGUCUUCGGAUUGUAAACUCCUGUUGUUGAGGAAGAUAAUGACGGUACUCAACAAGGAAGUGACGGCUAACUACGUG
rnacentral:rRNA from 1 species